AUCUAUUAGGUUGCCCUAAUCAACUUUUUUUCCUUUCCCUCAAAUUUGCUCCUUUUCGUAUCCGAGCCUCCUUCACUCGAACACGAGGUCGCGCGGCGAGGGCGCCCGGGCGACCUCACAUGGCGAUAAGGACGGUUACGGCGGCAAGGACGCUCGCGACCACUUCAAAGCCUCCAGUGCUCAACAUCUCCACCUUCUCCAAGAUCGAAAGCGACCAAAACAAGGGUUUUUUUUUCAACUGUCAAAGAUGAGGCUAUCUUCUUCAAAUCGAUCACCACAAUACCACAAGAAGGGAGAAUAAGAAUCGUACAGGAACUGCAAGCUAUGCCAGUGUUAAUACACAUAUAUUGAUUGAGCAAAGCCAAAGAUGAUUUGGAAUCUCUUGGUUACGUUCUUAUGUAUUUUUUAAGAGGAAGCCUUCUUUGGAAAGGGCUUAAAGCUAUCAGUAAAAGGCAAAAAUAUGACAAAAUUAGUGAGAAGAAAGUGCUUACCCCUUUGAGAUUAUUUCCACUACUGUUGAUCCUUGAGUUUUGAGGACAAGCCGGAUUAUUCAUACUUAAGGAGGCUAUUCCGUGAGCUAUUUAUUCGAGAAGGUAUGGGAGAGUUGAAGCGAAAUAGACUUGGAGCUUUUGAGAACGUCAACAUUUUGCAUAUGAAGACUUUAAAGAAAUGAAUACUUAGCUUUUGAUGUAAAUAGAUGUUAAUUUUACUAGAUGAUUACUAACAUUUGAUAUCUAGUUUAAUGAUGUGUAGAAAUAAUUGUCAUAAAUUACUGGAUGAUAUUUUAAUAUAUAUGGUGGGGUUUAAUUUUUAAUA